UAGUGUGACUGCUCUUUUAGAAUCUGUCUAGCAGGUUUCACCCAAAAACCCAC
ensembl:snRNA U7 U7 small nuclear RNA